rfam:Schistosoma rodhaini strain Burundi genome assembly, scaffold: SROB_scaffold0001201
AUCCAGCCGACAAGUCCCUAAUAGGACGAAAUGCGCGUCUUGGAU